GAAUUGAAAGCUAAAAUAUAUAAGCACUGAUCUUGUAAAUCAAAGAUAGAGUUAUAUCUCAAUUCU
rnacentral:tRNA from 1 species